rnacentral:rRNA from 1 species
GACGAGGGGUCCAAGCGUUGUUCGGAAUCAUUGGGCGUAAAGCGGGUGUAGGCGGCUCUAUAAGUCAGGAGUGAAAGCCCCGAGCUUAACUUGGGAAGUGCUUUUGAUACUGCAGAGCUUGAAUGUGGGAGAGGUUAGUGGAAUUCCAGGUGUAGUGGUGAAAUACGUAGAUAUCUGGAGGAACACCGGUGGCGAAGGCGGCUAACUGGCCCAAGCAUUG